rnacentral:lncRNA from 1 species
UGAAAAUAUUUCCAGGUAAUCACUUCUGCUGAAUCAGCUUAAAUGCCUGCAUUAUAUUCUACUGGAUGGAUGGAUUAGAUGGAUGAAUGAGGGAUUAACCAAUCACUUACUAUUAGACAUUUAUAUUUUUAUAGUUAUUUGUCUUUUUUAACAUGAUUCAGUGAACACUGCAGACUGGCCUAAUUAUCCUCUCAGAAUACAUUCUUAGAAGCAGACUUUCUGGAUCAAAGAGAAGCACAAUUUUAAGGCUUUUGAUUCACAUUCCAAAUUGCCUUUACAGAAAGAUUGUACUUUUACUCUUGCCAGUAGUAUAUAAGUGCCAGUUUUCCAACAUUCUCCUCUUUGGAAAGAAAAUCUUUUCCAUUCUAAUAUGUCGAAAUUAUGUCAAAAUAUGUCAAAAAUAAUAUUUCAUUGUUAUUUUAAUAUGCAUGUAUUUGAUUACUAGUGAGACUGAUCAUCUUUUAAUAGGAAUAGCAGGCACUGUGAGGCCUUCCAUAUCCUCCAGCUUCCACCUCUGUAGCCACUGGCUGCUUACUCAGAGGACCUGUUGAAACAGGAAAGUUCCUGACUCCCCCAACACAGGAUGUGCAACAGAGGUGUGGCUCCACUGUGUGUGCUCAAACCCCUUAUGGGAGAGGCGGCACGCAUAUGGGCAGGUACGGGAGCCAGGGCAAGCGCCCCUGGGCUCUGGCCCCACAGCAGUGUCCAGGGGUGGAAGCCUGUGACUCCCAAAGCCCAAGUGGGCGUGUGUCAUGGUGCGCUCCUUUAGCCUUGCUGUUCGUGGAUGACUUAAGUGUUAACCAGGUCAGUGCCCUCUUGGUACCCAGGUGAUUGUCCGGAGUCCAGGAAGAAUCCGGUGGCACAUGGACUUGAAGGAUGAAUGCGGGGAUUUUAUUGAGUGGUGGAGAUGGCUCUCAGCAGGAUGGAUGGGGAGCUAGAAGCAGAAUGAACUGGAAAGAUGAUCUUCUUCUGGAGGUUGGCUGUCCAGUGGCCCACCUCCUCUCCAAAUGUCCCCAGCCAAAAUCUUCUCGGCAUUCAGACGCUCCUUCUCUUCUGUCAUGCCGUGCUGCCAUUCUUCUGCUCUUCUGUUCGUCUCCUUGUGGAGCCAGGGGUUUGGGGUAUGGGUACAUGAUAGGGGGUGUGGUGGGCCAAAAGUCAACUUUUGGGUGCAAAAACAGGAAUGCCUGUUCCCAUUUAGGGCCGCAGGUUUCCAGGCUUGAGGGAGGGGCAUUUGCCAGGGAACUGCCCUCUUCUUUCCAGCAUUUCCCUGUCUCCUGUCCAGAUCACUGUGACUGCUGAGAGUGUUUCUUUGGUUUAACAGCAGGAAGAAGCGCAUGGCCCAAGAUUUCAUUCCUUGGAAUCUGCGAGGCCAAGAACCCCAGGUCAGAGAACAAGAGGCUUGCCACCAUCCCAUUUUGGAAGCGGCCCGCCGCCAUCUUGGAAGCUCUCGGAGC